CGGGACUGUAUCUAUUGCACCGGAGAGAAGCAUGAGUAUCACCUCAGGUUCCCUCUUCUGUGCUUGCGCUUGCGAUUCACAGUCUCUGCUUCUGAGAAACUGAGGUACUCUGCUCAUCCACAGUCCCUAAUUCCUCCGAAAAGGAAAAAAGAUUCCCCAAGAUCUCGAAAUUCUUUUCAAGCGGACCCUCCCCUUUUUGGACCAGAGGGUUCUGCUUCGAGAUCUCAAAGAACUAAAACAAAACCGAAUAAAAUUCCGUCUGAUCUGCUCUCAAUUUCAUGCACCGAGAGUGAAUCUCUCAAUAUGGGUAUACUGUUUACGAAAAUGUUCUCGUCCCUCUUUGGCAAUAGAGAAGCUCGGAUUCUCGUUCUUGGCCUCGACAAUGCCGGAAAGACUACAAUCCUCUAUCGGCUUCAGAUGGGGGAGGUUGUGUCCACGAUUCCAACAAUUGGAUUUAAUGUCGAAACGGUGCAGUACAAUAACAUCAAAUUCCAAGUAUGGGAUCUGGGUGGACAGACAAGUAUCAGGCCAUAUUGGAGAUGCUAUUUUCCAAAUACCCAAGCCAUAAUUUAUGUUGUUGAUUCAAGUGACACUGAUAGGUUGGUCAUAGCGAAAGAUGAGUUUCACGCAAUCUUGGAGGAAGAAGAAUUAAGAGGUGCUGUUGUUCUCAUUUUUGCAAACAAGCAGGAUCUUCCUGGCGCACUUGAUGAUGCUGCUGUUACUGAGGCUUUAGAGUUGCACAAGAUAAAAAACCGCCAAUGGGCUAUUUUCAAAACUUCUGCUAUAAAGGGUGAAGGUCUCUUUGAGGGCUUGGACUGGAUGAAGUUGCCUGAAGAUUGGUAGGUGAGGAUUAUUUUAUGUAGCAAGUGGUUGGUUAAAUUAUGUGCUUGGAUGCGGUGAUUGGGUUAUAGAGGAAGUUAGACAACUACAUAACCCUUAAAGAGUACAGCACUGGUUCUCCACCCAAAUCCGUGCUGUCUGUUGCCUGAAUUUCAUCUCCAACCAUAGCAAGUGAGAGGUCAGACCAAAUCACAGCAGGUGGUCUAUUUGGGUGAAUAACAUUUUCUAGAGAGCUUGCAUUUAUUAUGUGUCUAGUUUGUUGAACUUGGCAGUGAUUGCUUGCAAAUUGUUUUGGUUUAUUGAGCCAUCAAUGGUCACUAAAACAAUAUUGACAGUGGUAGUGGUAGGUGAUCAGUGAUAAAUGGAGCGAAGAUGACUUUGAAACGUGGUCUGUUGUGAUGGUGGUGGAGAUACUUGGUGAAAAUGGUUGGCUCAGAUUGAUUAUAUGAAGGCAGUGAUUUUUAGGACCUAUGAUCUAGAGUGGAUUUAGACACUCGACGAAGGCUGAAAGAGAAUGGUGGCCGUGAUGCAAGAAAGAGUGAGCAAGGGACUUCUCACACAUUAAUAUGGUGUAAAGGCGGGCUGGGACAAGAAGUAAAUCUGGUUGCCAUUGCAACCAUUUUCACAUCAUGAGGAAAGGGAGAGUGCGAGGGGCAUUUCAACCUUUCAAAACUGGGACAGCACCGUCCUGAAGAUGGGGAGGACACCUUUCUGGUAUAUAUAUGCAUACAUGAUGGUUUGUUUUUGGCUUUGAAGACUUGAAGGUCCAAAAAGUUUGACCGAUGGAGACUCAACCUAACUACCUCAAUUUCUAGCAGAAACAAAUACAAUGAAAGGAUUAUACUAUAAGGUUGAGUAACACGCUCAAGUCUGGAAGUGCCUAACUCUUUCAGUUCCAGUAAAGGAUAUAAGCCUGCUGUCGUUUGGCCAGAACGGAACUAAAGGGUGAAGUUUGGAUUAACUCGGUAGACUUCUCUAAUUGAUUUGGGAGUAAACCACUCUUACAUGUAAAAUUUGUGAUCAUAUACAUGAACCAUUUGGCUCUAAUUUUUGUUGUGAUACUUUUCUUUAUUUUCUAUCCUAAUUUCUUAUUUGUUUUCCCCAUGUUUGCGGAUUAUGAAUCUUUGCAAUUUUCUGGCCUAAACUUCCUACAAUUCAAAGAGAUAUGGAUACAUUAUCUGGACUCAAUGUAUUUCAUAUGAAGAUUUACAUUGUUCCAUGUGCA